rnacentral:rRNA from 1 species
ACGGGUGAGUAACGCGUGGGAAUCUACCCAUCUCUACGGAAUAACGCAUGGAAACGUGUGCUAAUACCGUAUACGUCCUUCGGGAGAAAGAUUUAUCGGAGAUGGAUGAGCCCGCGUUGGAUUAGCUAGUUGGUGGGGUAAAGGCCUACCAAGGCGACGAUCCAUAGCUGGUCUGAGAGGAUGAUCAGCCACACUGGGACUGAGACACGGCCCAGACUCCUACGGGAGGCAGCAGUGGGGAAUAUUGGACAAUGGGCGCAAGCCUGAUCCAGCCAUGCCGCGUGAGUGAUGAAGGCCCUAGGGUUGUAAAGCUCUUUCACCGGUGAAGAUAAUGACGGUAACCGGAGAAGAAGCCCCGGCUAACUUCGUGCCAGCAGCCGCGGUAAUACGAAGGGGGCUAGCGUUGUUCGGAUUUACUGGGCGUAAGGCGCACGUAGGCGGACUAUUAAGUCAGGGGUGAAAUCCCGGGGCUCAACCCCGGAGCUGCCUUUGAUACUGGUAGUCUUGAGUUCGAGAGAGGUGAGUGGAAUUCCGAGUGUAGAGGUGAAAUUCGUAGA